rnacentral:rRNA from 2 species
UAAGGUCACGGCGAGACGAGCCGUUUAUCAUUACGAUAGGUGUCGAGUGGAAGUGCAGUGAUGUAUGCAGCUGAGGCAUCCUAACAGACCGAGAGAUUUGAAC